CCUACGGGAGGCAGCAGUGGGGAAUAUUGCGCAAUGGGCGAAAGCCUGACGCAGCGACGCCGCGUGAGGGAUGAAGGUCUUCGGAUCGUAAACCUCUGUCAGCAGGGAAGAACGGUCACUGUGCUAAUCAGCAGUGAAUUGACGGUACCUGCAAAGGAAGCACCGGCUAACUCCGUGCCAGCAGCCGCGGUAAUACGGAGGGUGCGAGCGUUAAUCGGAAUUACUGGGCGUAAAGCGCUCGUAGGCGGUAUGUCAAGUCAAGGGUGAAAUCCCCGCGCUCAACGUGGGAACUGCCUUUGAAACUGGCAAACUGGGGUGAGUAAGAGGAUAGUGGAAUUCCGGGUGUAGGAGUGAAAUCCGUAGAUAUCUGGAGGAACAUCAGUGGCGAGGGCGACUAUCUGGCACAUAACUGACGCUGAGGAGCGAAAGCGUGGGUAGCAAACAGGAUUAGAUCCCCAGUAGUC
rnacentral:rRNA from 1 species